rnacentral:rRNA from 1 species
UACGGAGGGUGCAAGCGUUGCUCGGAAUCAUUGGGCGUAAAGCGUACGCAGGCUGUUCGUUAAGUCGGGUGUGAAAGCCCGGGGCUCAACCCCGGAACGGCGCCCCGAAACUGGCGAGCUUGAAUGCGGGAGAGGGAAGCGGAAUUCCUGGUGUAGAGGUGAAAUUCGUAGAUAUCAGGAGGAACGACCGGUGGCGAAGGCGGG